ACCAUUAUCUUCUCGACCCUCCAUUCACACACACGCACACACACACAUACACACGAGACUUAUCACAUACUUAUAUCUACUUGAAAGUCACACGGAGUCACUCUCAUUCACUUAUAAUCACUUCAUUUUUAUAAUUACUCUUUCACAUUUACGCCUCGUUUUCAAGAUGGGCAGUUUCAGAAGAGUGGCAUUGGGGUGGCUUGCAGUGGUGGUGGUGAUGCUGCUGGUGGUGCAGAGUGAAGGAGCGGUGUAUGGUGUUGGUAACAUGAUGUACAGACGGUACCCAAACGGACCGAAGGAAUACUGGAAUAGGCAAACAUCACAAGUGACUCCUCUGUUUCGGGGUGCGGUCUCUCCAGCCCAACAUCCAGCCCAAUAUCCAGCCCAACAUCCAGCCCAAUAUCCAGCCCAAUAUCCAGCCCAAUAUCCAGCCCAGUAUCCAGCCGUCUACUCUGCAAGAUACCGCGCCUAAGACUCUUCAGUUUCUACUAGGCAAUGAAGAUCUGGAUGCGUGAGGUGCUGGACUGACUAACCAAGGGAGUAACACCUGCCAUUCCUGCUCGUCUUGCCGUACGUGUCAUCCCUCGUGCUACAAACCUGUCUACCUGAUGCGCACCUGUUUCACACCUGUGUUCUGCCCCUAUGGAUUCUACAAGGCAUGUACAAGCAUGGUUAGGCAUUAGUGUACCUGUAAAUUCUGUACCUGUGGACUUUUGGCACCUGUAGAUUAGUAGUACCUGUGGAAAUUGCCUUCUUAUUAAAACUGUAGAGGUCUUGUUA